rnacentral:rRNA from 1 species
AGCUCCAAUAGCGUAUAUUAAAGUUGUUGCGGUUAAAAGCUCGUAGUUGGAUUUCUGUUGAGGACGACCGGUCAGUACUAUGUGCUUGUAUCUGGUUCGGCCUUGGCAUCCUCCUGGGGAACGGUGCUGCGCUUGAUUGCGUGGUCCGGUAUUCAGGACUUUUACUUUGAGGAAAUUAGAGUGUUUACGGCAGGCAAUCGCCUUGAAUACAUUAGCAUGGAAUAAUACUAUAGGACUUUCGUUCUAUUUUGUUGGUUUCUAGAAUGAAAGUAAUG